GGGUCGGUAGUUUGAAUUGGUUAAAACAGGGGUCUCCAAAACUCCAGUUACGGGUUCGAUUCCCGUUCGGCCUA
rnacentral:tRNA from 1 species